UAUAGGUGAUGGGGAGGAAGGCAGCAAAUCACACUGCCAUAUGUAUACCUAUGCAACAAUCUUGCAUGUUUUUCACAUGUACCCCAAAACCUAAAAUGCAAUAAUAAAAAAGAAAUGACAAAUCAGAUCAAUUCAGCUGUAAUAUGACAAAUGGAGUGAAGUGGGGUAACACUGAUGUAGUGGCACAAAUUAAGCAUCUACAUGAGGGAAUAAUGAUUUGGACUAGGGUUAAAUCAGUGGGAAUGGAGAUAAAUAGAUAAUUUGAGAGAAAUUAAGAGGAUAGAAUGACUAGGACUUGACGAUUGACUGGAUAUGGUGGGCCUGGUGAAUGAGAGGCAGGAGUCAAGAUUGAUGGUCAGGUUUCUGACUUGGGCAGUGGGUACAUAGUGAUGCUUGUGAAAAGACUGAAAAAGUAAAAGCAAAAGUGAGUGUCAAGCAGUUUCAAGCAACAAUCAGCUGCUAGGCUGGCCCACCGUACUUCUGUAGGCUCCUGUGAGAAGGAAACAGUGAGCCUAGAUAGAUUUAAGAGUUUAUUACUAAAAUCAAAGUAAGCAGCAUGAUCUUCAUGCUUCUAAGGAUUCCCUAAGUCCCAUGAUACAGAGUGAGGUCCAGAUAGAUGCUGUGUACACAGUAGACGUGUGUCUUCCCAAUCUUAUAAGAGGCUACUUCCAAACUUGCCCAAAAUCAUUGUCCUGGAGGAUGACAUUAUCUUUGUUAUGCCGGUCAGGAAACAAAUGUACCCUCUAACCCAGAAGCAUAUCCUGUCUUUACUCAGAGACAAUCAAAAACACCAUGGACAAUUGCCUCUCAACAGUAAGAGAAUGCUUUCAGUUUUGUAUAUAAUGUAUUUGGAAUGCUCAUGAUAUCUAAAUAAAGAUAUUUAGUAGAUAAUAAGCUGUUUUUAGGAAUAUUUGGUAUAGUAUUUAUAGAAAUGAGAUAAUAAAACAUUAAAAUACACAAACCUUGGCUACAUUAAUAAUACGAUAGUUACUUAUAAGAUAGUUGCAGCAAGUGGUUACUGUGUGGUCUAAUUAACCAUCAUGAUAGCAUUUUAAUAUGUGUAAGAUUUAUAAUUUUAUUCAUCACAAAGUGAAUUCACCUAGGCUUAGUUGUCUGUUGCUUAUGAGGUUUGAUGAUCUACUAACAAUCUCAGAAAAUGAGAGUUGUGUGUUGGCAGGAUAUUUAUAACACACUAUGGAAUGAGCCUUGUAACUGUGACUUUUGCCUGCUUUUGUGUAGACCAGCCCUUUUCAAUAGAAAUAAGAUAAAUGCAAACCUCAAAUGUGAGCCACAUACAUAAUUUAAAAAUUUCUAGUAGCCACAUUAAAAAAAAAGAAAAAAGAAGCAGGUGAAAUUAAUUUUUAUAAUAUACUUUAUUCAACCCAAUAUAUCAAAAUAUUGUUUCAACAUGUAAUCAACAGAAAAUUAUUAAUGAGACAUUUUAGAUUAUUUUCCUGCUAAAUCUUUGAAAUCUGGUGUGUAUCUUACACUUAUGGCUUAUCUCAAUUUGGACUUGGCACAUUGCAAGUGCUCAGUAGUCAGGUGUAGCUAUUGACUACUAUGUUGGACAGUGCAGUUCUAGACCUCAAGAACAAGAAGUUAUAUUUUAUCAUGUAUGGUGAAUAUAGGUUUUCUUUGUAUGUUAGAGGACUAAAUACUGUGGUAUGCUUUUGAUCUUAAACAAUUUAGUGCUGAGAAUAGCUAACAUUAUAAUGAAAAAACAAAUGGCCAGUGAAUUUACAUGUUUUUUUUUUUUUUUAGGAGAUCAUGAGUUUCACUUAAAAUCAGCUAGAUAUUACCAUGUCUAAAAUAGGCAUCUUGGAAGGUAAAUUUGGCCUGUAGGCUGUAUCAUUAGAUCCUUGAGUUUAAACCACUCCAGGAUUUGGACCAGGUAGCCAGGAUUUAAAGUAUGGUUAAAUGUUCAUCCUUUAACUUUGGGAAUAUAUUACGUGUUGGUAGAAUUUGUUCAUUAUUUUAUAUAAUGAGGUACUCAUCAUUUUGUGGCUUGUGAAACAUUUACUUAUUUACUAUGUUGACAAAUGUAUUGGCUCUGUAGUUCAGAAGCAUCUCAAAAACCUAAAAGAUUUCUGUUAAGUAAUUUAAUGAAAAACAGACAUCGAGGGGAAAAGUCAGUCACCCUACAUGCCCUCAAUACAGCAGUUGGAAAUAAUAUACUUUUGAAUGUCUGAAGUACGUUAGUGAUUUUAGAAAAAGACUAGGUAAGUUGUUUGAGAAACUUAAGACCUUCUAAGAAACUGGCAAUACAUGGUAAUAACUUACUAAGUUUGCUUUGGGUAAACCCAGUAAGUCAUGGAAAUUGCUGUGCAUUUUAGUGAGGAUACCUUUAAUCCUAAUUGAUGAAAUGCAGUCACUUUGAAUUGUAUAUUGAAGGAAUGUGCUCAGGGAAAAGUGAGUUUCUGUGCUGAAUGACUGAGUGAAAGCACUUGACUAGUUGUAAAGCCUGUGGGUAUCUCUUUGAUGUUGAUUAUUAUAUGUGAUUGUUUGUUGAGGGUUUUCUGUUUGUUUUUUAAAAGACUUACUUGGGAAAAGCAAAUGGUGAGUGUUACAAUUUAAAAAGAUUUUUUUUUAGAGAGCGUUCCCUAGGAAAAGACAAAUAGUUCUACUUUAUCCUUGUUCGUUGAUGCUUUUAUUUGAUUUCAUAUUUAUUGAGACAAACAGCUUUAAACAUUAGAUUAAUUCUAUAACAAAGUGAUACUGAAGUGGAUAUGCUGUGGGAAAUAGUAUUUAAUAAGGAAGCCAGAAGCAGUAGGGUGGGUAACAUCUAUUUUGUUUUCAUGACCCAGAAGGACUAUGUGUAUGUCAUUAGGCACGUUAGGGAGUUUGUCAAUCCACUAUGGUAAAAUAAUCCAACAAGGGUUAAUGUCAUGUUUCCAACUUAGCCAUUGAUGAGUUAAACCAAUUGUAAAUGUCUUGCUUUGGGAUGAAACCUUGGAAAUGAAGGGGUUGUCAUCAAAUGAGUUUUACUAUAACGUAGUCAGAGAAGGCCUCUCUGAGAUGAGGAUGAUAGAACUGACUUGAAGGAGAUGGGGCAGUGAACCCUGCUGGGGCAUCAGGAGGAACCUUCCAGGCAGAGGGCAUGGUGGGUCCCAAGCCCCUACUGCAGGAGCAUACCUGGUAGUUUGCAGGAAGAGUAUGGUGACCAAGUGGCCACAGAAGCAAAGGGGUUACUAUGGUUUAUUAUCUUCUCUAUUUUUUAGGUACUAUUUAUACAAACCUGACUUGAAAUGAGGCAAAUUGGGGAAAAAGUGUUAUAGUAGAACAACCUAUUUUGAACUUUUUAAAGUCUUGCUUGGAAAUGAAUCCCAAAAUAGAAGACAAAUAAAAGUGAUAAUACAGCUUCAAUUAUGAUGGGGCAUGUCAGAGAACCAUGGAAGUGAGACCAAAUGGCUUCUCACUGGCCAAACUCAGACAGUUAGAGUUUCAAAAUAGCAAGAAUAAUAGAUUUCAAUUCAUUAAGUAAAAAUAAAAAAAUCAUGAGUUCACACUUAAGUGAGUAGGAUACUAACUGAUAAAUGUAGGAGGAAUGAUACUGUUAGAAAAUCAUCAUUUUCCAGCCAGUGUAGCUGUUAAACAAGUUAUCAGUAGAUGCUAAUUCAGUGGAUGAGAAUCUGAUGAGGACCAGCAUAUUUACAAGGUCUUAAAAAGCAUCUACCCAUAAAUUACUUUUUAAUUAUAAAGGAUAAAAUACUUUUUUUAAUUACAAAGACCUUUAUGGUAGAGUAACCUGGUAGAUACUACCUUAACAUCUUAAGUAAUCAAAGUUAACAUUGCCAGUAAUUGGACAAACAAAAAAAUAUCAUGUGCUUCCUGAUGUGAUUCACUAAGAAGAACACAACAUCAUUUAUAUAACGUUGCUAUAAAAACUACAUAACCCAAACCUAAUUAUAAAAAAAUUAGACAGGCCUAAAUGUAGGGAUUUUUACAAAGGAAAUUGCAUGUACUAUUCACAAAGGUCAAUGUUGUGAAAGACAAGAUAAGGAUGAUUCUGGACCAGAAAAACAAAAAUUUCCAUACAGCACAUUUGGGGACAAUUAGAAAAAUUUAAAUAAGUUCUAUAUAUUACAUUAGAUAAUAGCAUUGUGUGAAUAUUACAUUUCCUGAUUUUGAUUAUUAUACUUUGGCCAUGUAAGUGAAUGUCUUUGUUCUUGGGAAAGGCACACAGACGUACUUAGAGAUAGUGAAACAUGGUAUCUGCAAUUUACUCUCAAAUGAUUUAGAGAAGAAAGUUAUACAUAGAGAGCAAAGAGAGGGGGAAGAGGAAGGGCAAGAAAAAAUGAUAAAGUAGUUGUGGCAAAAUGUUAACAAUGUGAGUCAAACACAUACAGGAGUUCUUUAUACGAUGCCUGAAACUUUUCUGUAAGUUUAAAAUUAUUCAAAAAUAAAAAGUUGAAAACAAAAAGUUACAGUGGGCUAGAUGAAUUGGACCUCAAACUCUCCUUUUGUCUGGUGUCCCCCUUCAACCCUUUUCUUCUACCUUUUUUAAAAAAAAUUUUUAUUUUUUUAUUAUUUAUUUAUUUGUUUAAGAUGGGGUUUCACCAUAAUGGCCAGGCUAGUCUUGAACUCCUGACCUCAGGUGAUCCACCCACCUCAGCCUCCCAAAGUGCUAGGAUUACAGGCGUGAGCCACCGCGCCCGGCCCAUUUACUUCUAAGAAGGACCCUGGGGGACCCCUGAGUAUAAUUUGAAGAUCACUGCACUGAACUGAUCCUCCCUUUCAGCAAUGAAAAAAAAGGCAGAAACCAAAAGUUUUAUAGGUAAUAAGAAAGGAGAUGCUAAUAUUUCAUUAGCUGUAGGAAGAGACUACUUGUCCUUUUAGAUAUUGCUAAUGUGCAGAUAUUAUUAGUAAAUAGUCUUAGAUGCUUAAAAAAGAGCAUAUGGGAAAAAAGAGCAUAUGGAAAAAAAUAAGACAAAGUCUGUACUUGGCCUGAGGGCUCCAGGAAUUGUGAGGGAGGCUGCCUGUAGGUCAUUAGGAAGAAAUUUAAGAAGCGGCAGUAAAUUUUACUUUUGGUAAAAGUAAAUACAUGCAACUGAAAUGAGGCAUAGGAAGGAGUGAAGUGUGGAAAUUCUGAUCAGCAUAAUUAUUUAAGUUUAUAAUCAUAGUAAGGAUGGCUGCUAUCACUAAAUGACAACAUCAUAGUGACCUUUAAAAGCUAGAAGACAGAUGAAAAAUGAUUCAGAAUAGAUAAAGAAGCAGUCAAAUGAGCAAUGUCAAAGGCAUCCUACUUAAGGCCAUUUUAACACUUGUACUGAGUCAGUACCAUCUACAUACCGUCAUGUGCUACAUGAUGUCAUAGGUUUGUAUAAGUCCACCAUAUGAUGUUCACAUAAUAAUGAAAUUGACUAACAAUGCAUUUCUCAGAACAUAUCCUUGUUGUUAAGCAAUGUAUGACUGUAAAAGGAAAUAGCAUUCAUGAUGUCAAAAGAGAGGAACCAUACCUGAGCCAGGUAUCAUUUCUCUGUUUCUUAGAGUUAACAACAUAAUCCCCAGUCAGUAUAGUACUUUGAGAAGAACAGAAUUUGAAUGUCUAGAAAACAAUGUGGAACUACUGGAAUUAUGGAAUUAUCAUAGGCAUUAAAUAGCAUAUAGUUGUUUUAGGUUGGGUACAAGGGAAUUCUAGUUUCCUUAAAGGAAAAAACCCAACAAAGAGGAAGAAAAUAAGUUAUCUUUUGACCUAAUUCAUAUGCUGAAUACUAAAACUUUAUAUCUCACCAAGAGAUAAGAUAUAACAACAGUGGGGAAAUUAGUCUAUAAGAUAUGAAAGAACUUUGUUUUCAAAACUGCCACAAUGUAUUAGAAAUUAUAAGGGUUGGUCAUAGCAUAGAUGAAGCAUGAAAAUAAACCCUAUUAAAAGUUGAAUAAUGAAUGUAUUAAAAUGAACAAGAAGAGCAGUAAUGCUCACAGUGCCCCAGUGAUAGCAUGUACAAAGCCUGUGGUUUCUUGGCUAUUUGAAAAAUAACAAAAUGAAAAAUGACUUCUUAUGGACAAAUGUGACAUACUAUUAUAAAAUGAGCCUUUCUUAGAGAUUAGAAAAAAUAGAAAUUACACAAAAAAGAUGUGAGAAAUGAUCUGUAAUUUAAACCUUUGUGGUCAUGGUAUGAGAGCAGGUAAUACCAAAUUAAGGAGGAAAGCAUGCUGACAAAAGAAGCUGUAAUCGUAGGCAGCGUACAGGCAGGGUGCUUUGUAAAGUUCUGCCAUGGAACAGCUAUGUAGCAUCAGCAAUAGUUGGAAUGAAGAAAUAGGGGAAUGGAUAAUUUAAUGACCAUUUAUAAUAGUUAUUUUACUCUCUAAGAUGUGGUAAGAAGAGUAACCAAAUCCAGUGCUCCAGGACACAAAUGAUUGAAUAACAGGGUCAGGAAGAAGUGUUUGUUGUUCUAGUUGGUGUAGCCUUGCUCAGCUACUUAGGUACCCUCUAUGUGCACCUUUCCUAGCACCAGGUAUAAUCUGCUGUCUGCAGAAUUCAGAUAUGAAGGGCUCAGUGCUAUCCCCUGGUCUUUGGAACAUCCUGCAUUUUAAUGAUCAUGAUAAAUGCUUGGAAAAUAUAUGCAGCAAAUAUAGAGAUGUUGGUAUUUCAGUAGAAUUAAUGACCAUAUCUGUCUUUUGACUGGUGUUUUUAUUGAAAUCAUCAGGCCUAGUAAUGAUUUCCUAGUCAAAUUUUAUUAAAAAGAUAGACUAUAUAUGACAUCUGACAUUUUUCAUUCAUAUAAUGGACUAGGUUUUAAACACUGAACCACAGUUCUGCCCAGUGAAAAGCACAGGUGUUCUGACAAGCAAUGAUAAUAAGUAAGAUGUGGUAUUUUUAUUUUGUUAAUUAGUAUACAUGCAUAUAGUUCAUACAGGGAUUCAGAAUACAAGGCUGCUUUAAUGACAAUCAAAUUUUAGUAGAAUUUACUUGAUUUUAACAUCUUCCUUUUAGAUGGGAAUAUGGUAUUUUAAAGAAGAUCAGACAAAUUACUCAUUCUGGGAACAAAGACUUUUGAAAGCUGUCAGCCUACUGACAGUUAUGAUGAGCAUUUAUUUCAGGCUUAUAAAACAUAUUAAUCAAACUUGUUCACAGUGUGGUGGUCCAAAGAGGGUUAUUUUAUUUUUGAGAGAUACUUUAAGUAAGUGAAGAGCACUGUUAACAUAUACUCCCAUGGAUACAAAGCUACAAUGUGUUUUUUGUCUUCAAAAUGAGUAAAUAGUUUUCUUGGGUUAACAGAAUGAAGCAUACUGCAGAAUUCUGUUUAUUAGGAGACUAUUUGCAAAAGACCUAUGCACCAUUCAUUGCACCUUGAAAAACACUUGAAAAUAUGGGUUGCAUUUGCAAACUUCAGUGUAUGACAUGGAAAUCUGGCAAGCUGCCUGGCGUCUACUUAAAGGAUUGUCAUUCUGGGAAAAAUAAAUUUCUCUAACUAGACAAAAGUCAAUGUUUUCAUGUUUUACUGCAAUCAAACUGAUAGAGCUGACAAUUUAAUGUCUCAACACUUAAAAUAUCUGUGGAUAAUCAGUUACCUCAAUCAAUCAUAAACACAAAUCCGUCUAUUUUCAAAGCUUGUGUGUCUGUGACUAAGAUAUAAAACAGUUUGGUGAGACCCAUCCCCCACAACACCUCAUCAUCUUUCCCCCACCAUCAUCUCAGUAGUCCUGAUUUGUCUUUAGCUAUGCAGAUAUUUAUACACAUUAUGCAUCUGGAAAUAACUUUUAACAACUCAAAUGUGAUCAAAUUUAGAAAGUUUUCUUUCACUGUCCUGUUUUAUUUAAUUUUUAUGAGUAGUUUAUAGCCUGUAUGCCUGUCAGAAAAAUGUGUAAGUGUGCUGGCAUUCCAGCUGAAGACAUCAUUACGAGUGAAAAAAUGCUCAAGGCUUUUUCAAAGUGGGUGCUGAAACAUACAUUUCCCUUCUCUGACUCCAGGGGAUGCUGGUAGCUACCCCCAACAGACAAGUAUUUUGGGGUCAGAUGGUAUAGUGCUGGCCCCUUAGGAUUUCCUGGCAGGCACACUGGAUGGCUCAUUUCUGGACACUCAUAAUAAUGAUGAUGAUGAUAAAGCAAGGGAGACAUUGACAACACAAAAAGGCGCCUGAGGAACUCGAUUCCAGGUAGCUCUAGAUUUGGCAGAACUGACAGGUUCAGUUCACUAAGCUUUGGUAUUGAUAAUGAUGGGAAACUUCAGACAGUUUUAAAAUCUGGUUCUAUUAAGAUAUGCCAUGGCGUUUCUGCAACAUAAAAACAAGUUUACUGCUGCACACCAUUCUUCUUUUAGCAUAUUAAGAAUUUAUAUUCCUAACAGAUAAUUACUCUGAAUUCUGAAUAAGCCAAAUGUUUUGUUUGGAGUAUUUUUUGAUAUAUUUUUAAUGCAAUGGUGUAUAUGUGUGUAUAUGUAUAUAUCAACAUACACAUUUACCACCAAGGCCUCCUUUUUGUUUCUUUGAUUAUUUGGAGCUUUGCAAUCAAACUAAGCAGUUUUAGGACCCUUGGGGCAGCAUCUUUUAGUUCCCCGUCAGGCAGCAUUGCAAAACAAUCAAUCUUGCUCUCACUCUCACUUGGCGGAAGUGCCACGACAAGAAGAGUGCAGUGCUUUGCUCUUGCCAUGAAGCCUGGGUGACAAAAGUUUUUACAAGAAGCUGACUGUAUUUGGGGUUAUGAAUAUGCAAUGACUCUCAUUAGUAUUGAAGCACCAAAGCAGGGACUGACAUCCCCCGCCACUUUGAGUUGCUGCAGAAUCGGCUAAUGAAUUGUCUCGCUCCCUCACUCACACAGUCUGCUGUUGUGGCUCCUAAGUUCCAAGGGGAGUUGCCCAUUUUAAGAAGACCAUUGACUGCAAAAAUUAAUUGUCAAAGACUACUCUUGAUUUCAUGAAACAGUGUUUCAUCAGUGCUUAGACUGUCAAAACAGAAAAGCACUAAAUUCUGCAUAAAAUAAUACCAUGAAUAGAAAAAUUUAGAAAGAGAGAGACACAAGAAGGUAUAUAUUAUGUACUUAUAUUCAUCAGUGUCUAUAGAUAUGCUUCCAUCCUGGAUCAUUGUACAAUAUGUAUAACUGUAUAUAGAUGAAGUCAAGUCACAGAAACCUGACAUUCUGUUGGUUUGUCUAUUGUUCUUCCAAAUGGAACAAACAGAGAUGCUAAAAAAUUCCCAAAAUGAAUAGGGUUGAAACAAAUACAUUCCAUCAAUUCUUUACCAUAUUCUUUCUUUUGUAUUCUUGGAUUUCUGCCAAACGUUUUGCAGCUCAUACACAUACCAUCUUUCAUGAAUAUGUUACUGAUAAGGAUAUGUUUGUAGCCACUGAUUAAGAUAUCUGAACUGAUUUGCAGUGUGUAAGAAGAUGCAGAAGUGCUUGGAAAUCAUUUAGAAUGUUCCCUUUCAAUAGAAUAAAUUAAAUGUGUUUUUCCACAUCCCUCCUCCCUUGAAAUUUCCUUUUAACUAGAAGAGCACUUCUGUGACUUGCUGCAGAUUGUAAAGGAUGGAUUGAAUUGAAAUUGAUAAUACGUGCUAAAAGGUAAGGGAUAUUUUGUAAGCUGUGCAAAUAUGGCAGUGAACAGAGUUAAGCUCUUAUAUUAGGAUGCUUGCUUCUGUGGUCAUUUAUUUAAUCUGCAAUGGAAAGUCAUCCCUUGCAAAGAAGUGUAUAUUUGUUAUUUUGUAGAGUUUUAGAGGUUAGUGUUAUUAUAAUUGCUAUAUCUGACCCAUCACUGGAAACAAGAAAAAAUAAAAGAACCAUGUACAUGUAAGAGUACCAAGAAUGAGUGUAGCAUAAAAAUAAAUGCAGCUCUGACAAAAGUGGCUCGAGUAUCAUACAUCAAACACUUGUUACCUCUGCUGCCUUUAGUGACUGCACAUGACUACGAACAGAUCAGUGAUAAAAUCUUAAGAAAGAUGAAACCAGUCUGGGCCUUUGCAAAGACCAUUAGUCAUUCUACAAAGCCAUAAUAUUAUUUGUUCAAGUAAUCCUUGGCUUCCUAUUUAAUGGACAUAGUAUGCACUCCACCCCUAGAUCAAAGCCACAAAGGGAAUUUUUAAGAAUUGAAUAUGUCUUAGAGAGAACCAAUCAGAUCUGAUCACAAAACAAACUACUAAAUUAUUCCAUUUUAUUAUUAAAUUUGCAUUCUAGCUGUACUUCAGUGCCAAUAUAGGUUGUAAAAUUUUUACUGUUUUAAAAGUACUUAUAUAAUCAGAAGCGAAUUACCUAUAUAAUCACAAGCAUUUUCUGAUUUUUCUGAUGCCACUUCCCUAGAUAUCCAAACAUUUUCUAAGACAAGUCUACCUACGUACAUCAGAAUAAACUAUUCAACUCUUAGGAAACAUGCUUGAAUUUUAAAAUACAAAAGUGGAAACAGAUCCAUUGAAACAAUUAUGGCUAAGCAUAAUCUAUUCAGGUUUAAUAGAAAUAUUAGUAUCUGUUACUAUGAAUAUGAUAAUCACAUUGUAUGUGAAAAUAGUUUUAACUGAAAUGUAGAUUUGGCACUGUAAUUAGCAUCUGCAUUAUAAACUUUGUGACUACUUUGAACAUUAUUUAUGGAAGGUUUAUCUAAAUAUACUUUGGUGCUUAUUGCUUUUAUCAAAUAUUGGUGUCUAAUGAAAUAAAGUGCAAAGAACUUGGGCUUCUCACAUUUUUAUGAGUGAUUUGCUGACAAUCACUUGCUGUAUCUCCUUUUCCACACACAACCAUAAUACAAUUGUAAGAGCAGGUGAAACAAUUUUUACAUUGCUUCUAUUUAUAAUGUGUAAAGUUGUCUUCCUAAAAACCUGAAAUAGAAUUUGGAUACUUAACAAGAGAACAGCAAAUACACAUAUGGAUUUAGGGAAUUAUUUGAUUUCUCGUUCUAUACUGUAUAGCAUCCAUAACCAUAAUUAGUAUUUUGACAUAGUUUUAUGAAGAGGACCCAGAAUUGGAGUACCCUAUAGCAGACAAAGUGCUGGAAGUCACAGACACAUUCAUCCUCACUCACUCCCUCUCUCUCCAUCUCUCUCUCUCUCUCUCUCUCUCUCUCUCUCUCUUGCUUUUUCACAUACACAUGUAUGCUCCUACAAUGGGGAGGGAAAAUAAUGAAGAAGAGUUAGUUAAGCCUUUGAUGAGCUUGCCUAGAAUUUUGCCAUCAGAAGCUAUUUUAAUUUAAAAGCAUACAGGUACAUUUUGUCCUUUAUGGUUUAGUAUUUUUUAAAUUUACAUGUGGAUGGGGGCACCAUAGUCAUUUCAGUCUUUAGGAUCUCUAGAGGUUUUGGUCUGAACUUGAACAAACCAAAGAAUUUACUGUCAGCAAGUGCUAUUUAUACAUUUCCUUGUCAGCCAUAAAUGAACAAUUAUUGAGUCAAAUCUGGGUGCUGAGGGUGGAGAGAGGAGGACUAGGAAAACACAGAAAACAGAAUCUUGGGUCCCAGGGAGUUCACAAUGUAGCUAGGGUGAAAGAUCACGGGUAACAAUGCAGUCUCAUUUACAGGGCUAGAAUUCAACAAAUGUAGAUUGGUUUAGUGCUCCCUAAGUGCAGAAGUGUUUCAGGGUUGCCACUGAGAUGUGAGAAUAGCCUCAGGAGGGACAAAUACAGGGACUUCUCAUAGGAGUUCCUGCUUGGAUUUCGGAAACUUAAACAUUUUAUUAAAACUUGGCUUUACUUUGAAAGAGGAUGUAAGUGUAAUAAACCUACCUUAUUUUGAUUUCAAUGGCAACAUUUCCUUUAGAAGUGCUAUAAUUUCAAGUUUAUAAUUAUGUGUUUUGUAGUGUCCUUUAAAUUUUUCUCACUCAAAAAAAUUGUAUCCUUAGGUAGGGAGGAAAAAAAUUGUUUACUACAAUUACAGUUGCCCCUUUUAGAUGAGGGACAAAGGUGAGGGAAUAUACAAGAAAUAUGUCAGAGUAACAUUUAAAUAAUUCUGUUUCUUCCUUAACUAACUUCAGUAGUCUCGCCUAAGCAUACUUAUAAAUGGUGAUUCCAUAUUGAUGACCAGAAAAACUAUGCAAGUAUGGGCAUAUUGAUACCCAGCAAAAAUUGUAUAAGUCCCAAAGUCCUAAAUUAUGCAAUUCCCAAGUCCUAUAUUACCAGAAAUGGUUAUUUAUGCCCUGAGAUUGCGGGGGGCUUGGGGGUAGGGGGGUACUUUUAUUCCUUGGUUUGGUCUCCAAAAACUGAUGUAACUGUUUCAUUUCUAGCCAAAAGCCUAGCUCUCAGUAAAAUUGUGAAGUUGUUUAUCUGCUACUCUUCAUUUUCACACUCUUCUUCCCUUUACCCUUUUCCCAUUCUUCUCAGAAGGCAAUAAAAAGGGCUUGAGGUUACCCCCUGCCAGGAUCAUUUGCUUUUUAAACAGGAGACUUAGUGAUUUGAGGUGAGUGUCCAGUGUGUGGCAGGCACUGUGCUAGCUGCUGUUGUUACUGCAACACAGGUAAUUGUAUGGAUGAAAAAAGUGGUGCAGAGACAUAUACAAAAUGAAUUUUCAGUGUCACACAGGUAGUUAGGUUUUGAGUCCUAGUAGUAUUUUUGACUCUAGAGCCUGUGUUGUUUGUACUACAUUAAAACACGUUCUGACCUUGAAUAAACUAUGCUGGAAGUUCAGGCUUUGUGCCAGUCCCACAGGAAAAAAUGCUUUUGGAUAGGAGCAUUGCCCUGUCUGGUGCACUUCAAAUUAGAUAAGGUGGGCCAGGUGUAGUGGCUGAUGCCUGUAAUCCCAGCACUUUGGGAGGCCGAGGCGGGUGGAUCACGAGGUCAACAGAUCGAGACCAUCCUGGUCAACAUGGUGAAACCCCGUCUCUACUAAAAAUUACAAAAAAUUAGCUGGGCACGGUGGCGCGUGCCUGUAAUCCCAGCUACUCAGGAGGCUGAGGCAGGAGAAUUGCCUGAACCCAGGGGGCGGAGGUUGCGGUGAGCUGAGAUUGCGCCAUUGCACUCCAGCCUGGGUAACAAGAGCGAAACUCCGUCUCAAAAAAAAAAAAAAAAAAAAAAAAAAAAAAAAGAGGUGGAGUUGAGGGAGGCAGAUUGCCUGAGGUCAGGAGUUCAAGACCAGUCUUGCCAACAUGGUGAAACCCUAUCUCUAUUAAAAAUACAAAAACAUUGGCCAAACGGGGUGGUGUGCACCUGUAAUCCCAGCUACUCAAGAGGCUGAGGUAGGAGACUUGCUUGAACCAGGAAGUGGACAUUGAAGCGAGUCAAGAUUGCACCACUGCACUCCAAGUCUGGGCAACAGAGUGAGACUCCGUCUCAAAAAAAAAAAAAAAAAAAAAAAAAGGGUGGGGGUGAGGUGGAGUCUCUCUCUAUUCUGAAUCUGGGGUUGAUCAUAUGACUUGCGUUGACCAGUGGAUAUUAGCAAAUAGUUUAGACUCAUGCACUGGGGCUUCUGCACUUAGAACCCUGUGACUGUAAUGUCAGUGAGCCCAGGUUGUUGUGCUGCAGGAUGAAUGGCCACUCAGAGAAGAACUGAGGUUCUUGCUGACAGUCAUUGAACUGCUAAACAUAUGAGUGAGAUCAUCUAAUUACCAGCUGAGCCACCAUUUGAUCACAAACACAUGGGAGAGUCCAGGGGAAAUCAGUUAGCCCAGAUUUCCCUCAUCUCUCUGGGGUCCCAGCUCAAACAGAACAAACUGCCCUGCCCAUUCACAGACUUAGGAACUAAGUAAAAUGUUGUUUUAGCUAGUAAAUUUGGGGUGUUUUGUUUUGCAGCAAAGCUGAUACGCAGAAGUUAUAUGUAAAGUACAGAGAAUAUAGAAAGAGGGAGAAGCUGAAAAUGAAGAGAAUGUCAAGGAGUUUAAGAUAUCUGAUACCAUAUUAAGGAGUUUAGACCUGCUUUCUAGUACCAAGCUUCCCCACUUCAUUGAUUCAUGUACUGCUUUUAUCUUUUUUAAAACAUCUCACACUACCUGAAUAGAUUAAUAUUUCUUUAAAUUGCCUGAGUUUUAUACUGAAAUUUAUUUUUAAAGCAAACUUAUUAACUUGACACCCAGUUUGAUGUAUUAAUUCUGUUUUUUGAAACCUAUUAAAAUAUGAGUAUUUAAGAAGUUCGUUUGUUUGCUAUCAGAAAUCAUCUGUAUAUUAUGAGUAGUGCAUUCAACAAUUUCCUGCUUUAAUCAGUAGGAAUCAGAAGCAUGUAGAGAGUAGUUUUAAGUGCAAAGGCUGCUGCUAGGGAGGAAUAAGGAGGCUGAUGUAGGGGUCCAAGUGGGAUAUGGUAAAUGGUAGAUAGAUACAUUUGAAAUGUGUUCCUAAGGAAGAAGAGAAAGGACCUGGUGACAGAUUUGAUCUAUGUGGAGUGAGAAUGGGGAGUGUGAAGGAGGUUUAUAAAUAUGGCUAGUUAUUUUGGAUCAUAGAGGAAAUACUAAUACUAUUAAGAAAAAAAAUAUGUUAUACCAUUUAUAAUUUGAUGUAAGUUAUAAAAUUAUAUAUAUUAGAAAAUAUAAUGAUGUUACACUUGUAGAGUUUGUGAUAGUAGGUCAGUUGAAAACAGGUGUACUAGGCAUUUGGACAUAUGGAUUUGUCCUUAAAAUAUUAUUUUUGAAGUCAUCAGUAUGUAGUUGGUACAUACUUGAAGUCAUGAGAGUAGAUGACAUCAUCUAGAGAAAAUAUUUGGUACAGAGAUCUUCAACUUUUGUUUUGUUCAUCCCCAAGCUCUUAAGAGAAGUAACUUACUGCAGCUAGAAAUAGUGAGGGGUUCAUAUAAGCAAUGAUUCUCAAAUUGGAGUGAAGGGGAUCUGUGCAGUGUGAAAAAUAUGUCCCCCAGGUGAUUUUGCUAUACUGCUCCUCACCCCUUGUUGGUUUAAUGAACCAACAAGCACUGAGGAAGAGGAAUUAGUAAAGAGAGAGCUUUAAGAUGGAGAGGUAAGCCACAGUGCUAAAUUUUGCAGAGACAUCUAGUAGUAUUGACAUUAUUCUUUAGCCAGUGCUGACUCAUGAAAGUAGAGUACUUGGCAUAUGAUAGGAGCACAGUAAAGGUUUGAGUGAAUGAUUUAUGUAGGACUGUUUUAUAUUUGAAAUACUGUAUAAGCCUUCAGUAUUAAACUAAGACAAUAUUUGUAAUUGUACUACUUUGGACUUGGAAAUCAAUGUGGAUUUAAAAAAUUUUCUCUGUCCGUGGUCAGUGGCUUAGAAGAGUGCCUACUUGGGCACCGUAAUCCUGAUCCCAGUGCAAAGCAAUGUUUGAGCCUGUAUUCAGGAAAUAAUGCUGGGGCAAGGGUGUUGACUGAUGUCUGUUUAUGGCCAUUCCACGUGUGGUCAUCCUGCCUCUGCCACCCAUGGUUUCCCGAGGCGAGUUACUUAAGCUGUUUUGGGUUGAGAGAAUGAAUAGACUUUACUGGCAGAACUGGAAUGCCAUCAGCCUAUCUAGUUCUUAGGCAAUUUUAGGCUCACAGUAGCAGCUUCUUUUAUUAUUAUUAUAAAAAUGAAAGGAUUUCUAUCUGCCUUCGCCUGCAGCUAGGGAAAGGCCCUGGAUCAGGACAGCAGAGUUUCCUCAGACGAGAAAUGGUGCCCCUUGCAUACCGCUCAGAGAAUUCUCAGCAGCACAGGUUCGUUUGACAUCUGGUAUUCACAAUUCCUGUGAGAGUGGCUUCCCCCUAAAUGUGCCCUGAAAGCAUUCCUGCUGUGCCCCUUCUGUCCAAGUAUAAACACAUUAUAGGAAAUGAACAAGUAAAGACCCAGCUUAUCCGGAAGGAAUGAAGGAACCCCUCACCCAGCUGUCCUGGGGUUUUGAUGUCCAGCUUCAGGAAAUUUUGCCAGCCACUGGGGUAGGGGCUGUUGUCUUGACACUUGGCACCUUAGUCCCUUUCCCAUUCUAAACUCCCCAGGUGCUGUUCACAGCCUCUGUUCUAAGUCAUCCAGCUGAGGAAAAUUGUUCCAGGACCUUUAAAAUGUGAAAGAAGGGUUGUUUUUCAUUGUAGAUUAACCAAUGUGCAGCUGGAUUAGUUAUUUACAGUUGUAAAUGUGGUGCUAUGUUUACUGAGGUAGGGGGACACAUUUAAAAAUAAUUGAAGCAGUCUAAAGCCAGACCUAUAAAGAAAAAGGUGCCUUUCCACUUGUUUUAAUAUGAAGAUAAAAAUAUUAAAAAUGAUAAAAUGGAUAUAUAACAAGGAAGUUGACACCAAAAUAAAAGGAAAAGGAAAGCCUUUUCACUUUUCCCUGGCUACUGUCUUUCCAAUUUCAGUUUUUGUUCCGGCCUAAUGAAUGUAUUGUAAGUAAAACCUGCAUGCUGUCUUUGCUCUCUGCCUUCCUACUACUGCAAAUAUCAGCUCAGCCACUCUUUCAGAUCCACUUCAAGGAAACACUGACUUGAAAACUCUCCCCCAUGGUUUUGUCUGAACUGGCUGCCAUUCUGCAGCACACACCAGAUCCAAUUGCUGGAGUCGGGGAACCUGAGAGAUACACUGCCUCUAGGACUGGGACAGAUAGCCACUGAGAACCUGCUUCAAAUCACCUUGCACAUUUUCUUGUUGGAAAGAUAACCACUGGAGAAGCAUCUUGUUACCUUCAGCAAAAGUGGAAACAAAUCAAGACAUUUAGAAUGCCACAGCGGACAUCAGUGGUUCAGCAGAGGCAGUUUGCAAUACGGUGUACCACACUAGCUAGAAAUCAGAAAAGAUCGAAGCUAGCCUUUUUAUCUCAGCUGCUCCUUAAAUCAGUGCAACCCCUCCAAAUUAAUGUGAAUUAAAACAUGCAUUGCCUUUCAACUUAAUUCAGUACUUACUAUGUGUGAACCACUGCACAAAAUAGGGGAAGAAAAUGAGGGCAACAAAGGUGUGGAGCCUGUCUUCAAUGAAUUUAGAGUUAGUUUCAGGAUACAUUUUUUUUUUCUUCUGCUGUUGAUUAGGUGUAUCCAUAAGACAAGAAAUAAAUGAGUGGAAAAGUA